GGCAGGGAAGAAGUUAUGGUGCCCAGCCUCUGUGUGCAAGACAGAGACACCGCGCAUCAUGGCUCUGAAAAUCAGCCAAGUGGCCGGGACGUCAAAGCGGCAGAGCAAUCAGAAUGCCCUGGAGCCGGGGAUGGAGGGGCCACAUUGUUUGAGCCCUCGGAUUUUGCUGCAUUGUCACCGCCCGGGAACGUGGGGGUAGCAGGAAGCGCACCUCCAGCCAAAAAUGGACCGGACGCAUUCCCCCCCCCUCCCCGCCCCGGCAGCUCCCUCCCUGCCUGUCUGCAAGUCGCAAUACGAUAAUGGAGCUAUUUUUUUCUUUCGUUGUCCAAGUGGAAGAUGUUAAAAAAGAAACCCUCAAUGUACAGCAAAACUGCAUUUCCCAAGCUCCUCUUCUCUCAAUGGGUCACAUGACUUGUUCUAGCCAAUAGAACGAGGGUGGAAGUAAUGUGACCACUUUCAGGUGUCCCCUAAAGUCUCCUGUGAGAUCUUCCAAUCUUGCUCUCCUCACUCUGCAUGGCUGGAAAUGAAUACUCUGAUAUCUGAAACAACAUGAUGAAGGAGCCAGGAUGCCUAAGUUCACCACUUAGAGAAGAGACAGCUUGAAGAGUCAUUCUGGAGAACUGGCUGACCAAACUCAUUGGAUUGUAACAGAAUAUAAACCUUUUAUUCUGAUAUGCCAGAGGCACAUUAUGGAUUGUAUUACAAUGACUAGCAUUAGCUGUCCUGAUUAAUAGACACUGUGACAAGAUUCUUUAUUGCUAAAAGAAAAAAAAAGCAAUGGCUGAUACCUGAUUAACAGACACUGUGACAAGAUUUUUUAUUGCUAAAAGAAAAAAAAAAAGCAAUGGCUGAUACCAUUUAAAAUAAAACUUACAAUUAAG
rnacentral:lncRNA from 1 species